AUUGAACGCUGGCGGCAGGCCUAACACAUGCAAGUCGAACGAGUGGCGGACGGGUGAGUAAUGUAUGGGGAUCUGCCCGAUGGAGGGGGAUAACUACUGGAAACGGUAGCUAAUACCGCAUACCAUCGGAUGUACCCAUAUGGGAUUAGCUAGUAGGUGGGGUAAAGGCUCACCUAGGCGACGAUCCCUAGCUGGUCUGAGAGGAUGACCAGCCACACUGGGACUGAGACACGGUCCAGACUCCUACGGGAGGCAGCAGUGGGGAAUAUUGUACAAUGGGCGCAAGCCUGAUGCAGCCAUGCCGCGUGUAUGAAGAAGGCCUUAGGGUUGUAAAGUACUUUCAGCGGGGAGGCGUUACCCGCAGAAGAAGCACCGGCUAACUCCGUGCCAGCAGCCGCGGUAAUAC
rnacentral:rRNA from 1 species